GUGCUUGCUUUGGCAGCACAUGUACUAAAAUUGGAAUGAUGGAGAAGAUUAGCAUGGCCCCUGUGCAAGGAUGACACACAAAUUUGUGAAGCAUUCCAUAUAUUU
ensembl:snRNA U6 U6 spliceosomal RNA